rnacentral:rRNA from 1 species
AGAGUUUGAUCCUGGCUCAGGAUGAACGCUGGCGGCGUGCCUAAUACAUGCAAGUCGAACGCACAGCGAGAGGUGCUUGCACCUUUCAAGUGAGUGGCGAACGGGUGAGUAACACGUGGAUAACCUACCUCAAGGUUGGGGAUAACAUUUGGAAACAGAUGCUAAUACCGAAUAAAACUUCGUAUCGCAUGAUACAAGGUUAAAAGGCGCUACGGCGUCACCUAGAGAUGGAUCCGCGGUGCAUUAGUUAGUUGGUGGGGUAAAGGCCUACCAAGACAAUGAUGCAUAGCCGAGUUGAGAGACUGAUCGGCCACAUUGGGACUGAGACACGGCCCAAACUCCUACGGGAGGCUGCAGUAGGGGAUCUUCCACAAUGGGCGAAAGCCUGAUGGAGCAACGCCGCGUGUGUGAUGAAGGCUUUCGGGUCGUAAAGCACUGUUGUAUGGGAAGAACAGCUAGAGUAGGGAAUGACUUUAGUUUGACGGUACCAUACCAGAAAGGGACGGCUAAAUACGUGCCAGCAGCCGCGGUAAUACGUAUGUCCCGAGCGUUAUCCGGAUUUAUUGGGCGUAAAGCGAGCGCAGACGGUUGAUUAAGUCUGAUGUGAAAGCCCGGAGCUCAACUCCGGAAAGGCAUUGGAAACUGGUCAACUUGAGUGCAGUAGAGGUAAGUGGAACUCCAUGUGUAGCGGUGGAAUGCGUAGAUAUAUGGAAGAACACCAGCGGCGAAGGCGGCUUACUGGACUGUAACUGACGUUGAGGCUCGAAAGUGUGGGUAGCAAACAGGAUUAGAUACCCUGGUAGUCCACACCGUAAACGAUGAACACUAGGUGUUAGGAGGUUUCCGCCUCUUAGUGCCGAAGCUAACGCAUUAAGUGUUCCGCCUGGGGAGUACGACCGCAAGGUUGAAACUCAAAGGAAUUGACGGGGACCCGCACAAGCGGUGGAGCAUGUGGUUUAAUUCGAAGCAACGCGAAGAACCUUACCAGGUCUUGACAUCCUUUGAAGCUUUUAGGGAUAGAAGUGUUCUCUUCGGAGACAAAGUGACAGGUGGUGCAUGGUCGUCGUCAGCUCGUGUCGUGAGAUGUUGGGUUAAGUCCCGCAACGAGCGCAACCCUUAUUGUUAGUUGCCAGCAUUCAGAUGGGCACUCUAGCGAGACUGCCGGUGACAAACCGGAGGAAGGCGGGGACGACGUCAGAUCAUCAUGCCCCUUAUGACCUGGGCUACACACGUGCUACAAUGGCGUAUACAACGAGUUGCCAACCUGUGAAGGUGAGCUAAUCUCUUAAAGUACGUCUCAGUUCGGACUGCAGUCUGCAACUCGACUGCACGAAGUCGGAAUCGCUAGUAAUCGCGGAUCAGCACGCCGCGGUGAAUACGUUCCCGGGUCUUGCACUCACCGCCCGUCA